rnacentral:lncRNA from 1 species
GAGGCAGAGGCCUGAGGAAGCUUGUUCGGCCCUUCUGCCCUGAGAGGAAGCAGCCAGAAGGCGCUGUCUGUGAGAAACCAGCCCUCACCCGACACUGAGUCAGCUGGCACCUUGAUCUCAGACUGUCCAGCCUUUGGAACUGAAGCUUUUCAACAUCGUGAGGAUUGCAUAAUCAACUCUGAACAUCUGGAAUAGGAGCCUGACUGAACAGAGCAGAAGUGAACUUUCCCGGAGCUCCCAUACUCCAUCCACUCAACUCAACAAAUGUUGACUUAGUGCCUAUGAUGUACAGCACUCAGUGCUAAAAUGCAGUAGGGAAAUAAAUAAGUCUCUUUGGUCUGAUUGAAAUUAAUUUCCUCAUUUCUAAAGGAGG